rnacentral:tRNA from 4 species
GGGCGGGUAGCUCAGUUGGUAGAGCAUUCGACUUUUAAUCGAAUGGUCAUGGGUUCGAGUCCCAUCCCGCCCACCA